rnacentral:piRNA from 1 species
UACCGCAGCUCUUAUACGGAGGU